rnacentral:rRNA from 1 species
GAUGAACGCUGGCGGCGUGCCUAAUACAUGCAAGUCGAGCGAACAGACGAGGAGCUUGCUCCUCUGACGUUAGCGGCGGACGGGUGAGUAACACGUGGAUAACCUACCUAUAAGACUGGGAUAACUUCGGGAAACCGGAGCUAAUACCGGAUAACAUGUUGAACCGCAUGGUUCAACAGUGAAAGACGGUCUUGCUGUCACUUAUAGAUGGAUCCGCGCCGCAUUAGCUAGUUGGUAAGGUAACGGCUUACCAAGGCAACGAUGCGUAGCCGACCUGAGAGGGUGAUCGGCCACACUGGAAUUGAGACACGGUCCAGACUCAUACGGGAGGCAGCAGUAGGGAAUCUUCCGCAAUGGGCGAAAGCCUGACGGAGCAACGCCGCGUGAGUGAAGAAGGUCUUCGGAUCGUAAAACUCUGUUAUUAGGGAAGAACAAAUGUGUAAGUAACUAUGCACGUCUUGACGGUACCUAAUCAGAAAGCCACGGCUAACUACGUG